rnacentral:rRNA from 1 species
UACAGAGGGUGCAAGCGUUAAUCGGAAUUACUGGGCGUAAAGCGAGCGUAGUCGGUUGUCUAAGUCGGAUGUGAAAUCCCCGGGCUCAACCUGGGAAUUGCAUUCGAUACUGGGAUAGCUAGAGUUCGGCAGAGGGAAGCGGAAUUUCCGGUGUAGCGGUGAAUGCGUAGAUAUACGGAAGGAACAUCAGUGGCGGAAAGCGGCUUCCUCGGAGCAAUUGCUGACGCUCAGGCACGAAAGCGUGGGGAGCAAACAGG